CAGAAUUUCUGUUUUGUGGAAACCUCUAUUAAACCUCUGCUACUCAGAGCUUCUCGAGGAAGACAGACAUCUCUUAUACAGAUGCUCUUUAUUUUGUGUCUCCUCUGGCCACAGUGUCUCACCCACUGUGGGAUUUCCCUGCAAUGACACCAUGUCACGGAGAAAAUGCUUGUAAAAGGCAAGCCUCCCUCCUCCUCUUCAUGAUCUGUUCCAGGUCUCCUUGAAGAUCUUCACGCAACAUGGGGAAGCAUAAGCCUUCAGUUGUGUGCGGCAAGAUUGAGAACGAGGUUAUUGAAGCCAAAUUGUAUUGUAGCCAAAUGGAGACCACAAGCAGAUUUGAAGUAAAGGAGGAUGAAGAACGUUUUGUUCGAAUACUUCUUCUAAAAUACCACCAAAUAUUUUACAUUGCAUAAUAUUUUGAUUUU
rnacentral:lncRNA from 1 species